rnacentral:rRNA from 1 species
UACGUAGGGUGCGAGCGUUGUCCGGAAUUAUUGGGCGUAAAGGGCUCGUAGGCGGUCUGUCGCGUCUGCUGUGAAAACUCAGGGCUUAACCCUGAGCUUGCAGUGGGUACGGGCAGACUAGAGUGCGGUAGGGGAGACUGGAAUUCCUGGUGUAGCGGUGAAAUGCGCAGAUAUCAGGAGGAACACCGGUGGCGAAGGCGGGUCUCUGGGCCGUAACUGACGCUGAGGAGCGAAAGCAUGGGGAGCGAACAGG